rnacentral:lncRNA from 1 species
UGAGAUUCCGGGCCCGGCGACCGCGGGGAGCGGGUGCCUCUUAGGAACCGGGUUGCUGGCCUCCUCUUUGCCUUUUGGGGGUUCUUUUUGUAAUAGCAGCAGAAAUGAGACCCGGCUUCCUGAAAAUCGAGACCAAGCCCGUUUGGUACAACCACAACGCGGAGCUCUCCAGCGCUGGGAAGAGGCCCAAGGAGGCCCCGAGGUUCGCAGCCCCAGGCCCCCAGCCCACCCGGGACACCUCUCCCUGAGGAUCCAGGGCCCAAACCAAACAGCAAGUACAAUUCUGAGAACUGUGGAACUUCUUCCUUUCAUUUUAAGCUUCUCCUGCCUUUGCUUGAUGGAAUCGUGUACCCACUGAGAAGAUGGCUGUCUAUGAACCAAAGAGUUGGCCUUCACCAGACGCGAAUCCGCUGGCACAUCGAUCUUGGACUUCCAGCCUCCAGAACUAUUUAAAUCUUGCAAUCACCGCUGGGAAGUGAGCUGUAUCAUCUUGAGAAAUCAGACCACAGAGACGGGCUUGCAGCUGCCAGUGGGACAUUACCAAAUGUGACACAGACAGAGAACUGAAAAGCAAUUGCACACUGAAGAUGUCUUCUCCUGCCGCUCUUGGGAACCCUCAACCAACAUAAUGUCAAUGAACCCUGGCAAACCUGCUGGAGACAUGUGGCCCGGUGACCCCUGCCACCCUAGCUGACAGCCACCACUGACUGCCAGACAUGUGGAUGAGGUCAUCCUGGACCAAGCAGCCUCAUCCCACCUGUGAACUCUGUGGAGAGACAGCUGUGAGCCCAGGGGAGCCCAGCCCAGAUAGCCCACCCACAUAAUUGUGGGACGCCUGCUACAGCAUGACUUGACAAGUUGUGUGUAGGUCCACGCCCAGGAUUUGAAUCGGAGAACCUCAGGCUGCUGAAGCGGAGUGUGCAAACUUAACUGCUAUGCCACUGGGCUGGCCCCUUGAGUCUUCCUUUCUAAUUCUUGUAUCUUAUUCUUUUAAUCUUGAUAUUAUUUGAUACGGCUUGAUAUGGCUAGUACAUCUAGAACAAAUGCUUUUUGUGUGUGUUUUGAGAAAGUUACGUAUUCUCUUUUGUCUUUAUAUUAG